UACGUAGGGCGCAAGCGUUAUCCGGAAUUAUUGGGCGUAAAGAGCUCGUAGGCGGUUUGUCGCGUCUGCCGUGAAAGUCCGGUGCUCAACUCCGGAUCUGCGGCGGGUACGGGCAGACUAGAGUGAUGUAGGGGAGACUGGAAUUCCUGGUGUAGCGGUGAAAUGCGCAGAUAUCAGGAGGAACACCGAUGGCGAAGGCAGGUCUCUGGGCAUUAACUGACGCUGAGGAGCGAAAGCAUGGGGAGCGAACAGG
rnacentral:rRNA from 1 species